rnacentral:rRNA from 1 species
CCUACGGGCGGCAGCAGUCGAGAAUCAUUCACAAUGGGGGAAACCCUGAUGGUGCGACGCCGCGUGGGGGAAUGAAGGUCUUCGGAUUGUAAACCCCUGUCAUGUGGGAGCAAAUUAAAAAGAUAGUACCACAAGAGGAAGAGACGGCUAACUCUGUGCCAGCAGCCGCGGUAAUACAGAGGUCUCAAGCGUUGUUCGGAAUCACUGGGCGUAAAGCGUGCGUAGGUGGUUUCGUAAGUCGUGUGUGAAAGGCGCGGGCUCAACCCGCGGACGGCACAUGAUACUGCGAGACUAGAGUAAUGGAGGGGGAACCGGAAUUCGCGGUGUAGCAGUGAAAUGCGGAGAUAUCGAGAGGAACACUCGUGGCGAAGGCGGGUUCCUGGACAUUAACUGACGCUGAGGCACGAAGGCCAGGGGAGCGAAAGGGAUUAGAUACCCGGGUAGUC